CCCAGGUCAGGGGAAGUUGUGGAUACUGACACGGGAGCAUCUUAGGAGUUCUUUCUUUGGGUCUCCAGUCCUACAUUUUCCCAGGCUCUGCAGAAAGAGAAGCCUGAAAGUCUCAGUAUCAGAGGUACCUACCGUGGUCUGUAAAUAAUACAGAAUACUACACUUCCAAGGAAAUUGCACAUAAUAUGAUGACUAUUACAAGCACAAAGGAAUAGAAGAAGUCAGACUACAAAGGAGAGAUUCUUCAAGAUUUCAUUUGUACAAGAUUUAAAAUAGUAGUGAUAUAAGCUACGUCCUCCUGGGGACCUCAUUGAGGACCACAGUAUUUACUGAAUGAGAAGAAAAGCUACCACUAGUGGCUGAGAACCUCAGGGCAUAGACUUCUCCUUCGAUGGAAGAUUCUGGCUGCUAUGAGGACUCUAGCCUAGGAGAGACAAAGAAACGGAGAUGACAGCAAUCUGGCCAGGGUGCUGGCAGGGAAAGCAGUUCUGACAGGUUGGAGAACAACUGCUCUAAGUGGAUGGCAAUGGCCAAGAAUGCAAUGUGGGGAAUCUGUGCAUCUGCGUAUGUCGAUUUUUCGUGUACUCAGACAUGGCUACUAAAAAGAAGAACGUGUAAACAGAUAUCUGUAUUUUAAAAACAGAUAAGGUCUGGUAGAGAAUGUAGAUGAUUGACAGACACUAGCCCAGGAGUCUGAAGGGGUCUUGGGAUAAUAAACAAGAAUAAGGCAUACA